UUGCCAGCAUUCAGUUGGGCACUCUAAGGUGACUGCCGGCUAAAAGGUCGGAGGAAGGUGGGGAUGACGUCAAAUCAUCAUGCCCCUUAUGACCUGGGCUACACACGUGCUACAAUGGGCGGUACAAAGGGUCGCGAACCCGCGAGGGGAGCCAAUCCCAAAAAGCCGCUCUCAGUUCGGAUUGCAGGCUGCAACUCGCCUGCAUGAAGCCGGAAUCGCUAGUAAUCGCGGAUCAGCAUGCCGCGGUGAAUACGUUCCCGGGCCUU
rnacentral:rRNA from 1 species